rnacentral:rRNA from 1 species
GACAGAGGCCCCAAGCGUUAGGCGGAAUCACUGGGCUUAAAGCGUGUGUAGGCGGAUCGUUAAGUGUCUUGUGAAAUCCCACGGCUCACCCGUGGAACGGCUGGGCAUACUGCCGAUCUUGAGCCAGCUAGGGGCAACCGGAACAAACGGUGGAGCGGUGAAAUGCGUAGAUAUCGUUUGGAACGCCAAUGGUGAAAACAGGUUGCUGGGGCUGUGCUGACGCUGAGACACGAAAGCCAGGGGAGCGAACGGG